rnacentral:lncRNA from 1 species
CUAAACACUAAACCCUUAAUACUAAAACACUAAACUCUAAACAUCAUUAAACCCUAAACACUAAAACCAAAACCCUAAAAUAAAUACUAAACACUAAAACCUAUAUACACUAAAACACUACACACUAAAACCUAAAAACUAAACCCUAAACACUAAAACACUAAAAUCUAAACAUCAUUAAACCCUAAAUACUAAAACCCAAACCCUAAAAUAAAUACUAAACACUAAAACCUAUACACUAAAACACUACAUACUAAACCCUAAAAACUAAACCCUAAAAACUAAACCCUAAACACUAAACCCUAAACACUAAAACACUACACACUAAACCCUAAACCCUAAACCCUAAACA